CGGAGGAAAAGAAACCAACAGGGAUUGCCUCAGUAGCGGCGAGUGAAGCGGCAAAAGCUCAAAUUUGAAAUCUGGCGUCUUUGGCGUCCGAGUUGUAAUUUGAAGAAGGUAUCUUUGGGCCCGGCUCUUGUCUAUGUUCCUUGGAACAGGACGUCACAGAGGGUGAGAAUCCCGUGCGAUGAGAUGACCCGGGUCUGUGUAAAGUUCCUUCGACGAGUCGAGUUGUUUGGGAAUGCAGCUCUAAGUGGGUGGUAAAUUCCAUCUAAAGCUAAAUAUUGGCGAGAGACCGAUAGCGAACAAGUACAGUGAUGGAAAGAUGAAAAGAACUUUGAAAAGAGAGUGAAAAAGUACGUGAAAUUGUUGAAAGGGAAGGGCUUGAGAUCAGACUUGGUAUUUUGCAUGUUGCUCUCUCGGGGGCGGCCGCUGCGGUUUACCGGGCCAGCAUCGGUUUGGAGCGGCAGGAUAAUGGCGGAGGAAUGUGGCACGGCUUCUGCUGUGUGUUAUAGCCUCUGACGAUACUGCCAGCCUAGACCGAGGACUGCGGUUUUUACCUAGGAUGUUGGCAUAAUGAUCUUAAGUCGCCCGUCUU
rnacentral:rRNA from 1 species